GAAACUACGCCUACAUGAAGCUGGAGUUGCUAGUAGUCGCGAAUCAGCAUGUCGCGGUGAAUACGUUCCCGGGCCUUGUACACACCGCCCGUCACACCAUGAGAGUUGGCAAUACCCAACGUACGUGAUCUAACCCGCAAGGGAGGAAGCGUCCUAAGGUAGGGUCAGCGAUUGGGGUGAAGUCGUAACAAGGUAGC
rnacentral:rRNA from 1 species